rnacentral:rRNA from 1 species
AUUGAACGCUAGCGGGAUGCUUUACACAUGCAAGUCGAACGGCAGCGCGGACUUCGGUCUGGCGGCGAGUGGCGAACGGGUGAGUAAUGUAUCGGAACGUGCCCAGUAGCGGGGGAUAACUACGCGAAAGCGUAGCUAAUACCGCAUACGCCCUACGGGGGAAAGCAGGGGAUCGUAAGACCUAGCACUAUUGGAGCGGCCGAUAUCGGAUUAGCUAGUUGGUGAGGUAUCGGCUCACCAAGGCGACGAUCCGUAGCUGGUUUGAGAGGACGACCAGCCACACUGGGACUGAGACACGGCCCAGACUCCUACGGGAGGCAGCAGUGGGGAAUUUUGGACAAUGGGGGCAACCCUGAUCCAGCCAUCCCGCGUGUGCGAUGAAGGCCUUCGGGCUGUAAAGCACUUUUGGCAGGAAAGAAACGUCGCGGGCUAAUACCCCGUGGAACUGACGGUACCUGCAGAAUAAGCACCGGCUAACUACG